CGUGAGAAUCUGGCUCUAGGUUCGGGACAACCACUGGAAACGGUGGCUAAUACCGGAUGUGCCGAAGAGGUGAAAGGCUAGCUGCCUAGAGAUGAGCUCGCGUCUGAUUAGCUAGAUGGUGGGGUAAGAGCCUACCAUGGCGACGAUCAGUAGCUGGUCUGAGAGGAUGAUCAGCCACACUGGGACUGAGACACGGCCCAGACUCCUACGGGAGGCAGCAGUGGGGAAUUUUCCGCAAUGGGCGAAAGCCUGACGGAGCAAUACCGCGUGAGGGAGGAAGGCUCUUGGGUUGUAAACCUCUUUUCUCAGGGAAGAAGAGAUGACGGUACCUGAGGAAGAAGCAUCGGCUAACUCCGUGCCAGCAGCCGCGGUAAUACGGAGGAUGCAAGCGUUAUCCGGAAUGAUUGGGCGUAAAGCGUCCGUAGGUGGUGAUGCAAGUCUAUUGUCAAAGCGUGCGGCUCAACCGCAUAAAGGCAGUGGAAACUGUGUAACUAGAGUGCAUUCGGGGCAGGGGGAAUUCCUGGUGUAGCGGUGAAAUGCGUAGAGAUCAGGAAGAACACCGGUGGCGAAAGCGCCCUGCUAGGCUGCAACUGACACUGAGGGACGAAAGCUAGGGGAGCG
rnacentral:rRNA from 1 species